rnacentral:misc_RNA from 1 species
UUACAACAUAAGCUUAUUAUUUGCGGAAACAGCACUUAAACAUAGAAGCUCUCGAGUUUGGGAGAGCAUUGGAAGGCGAGUUUUUGACAUCUAUAUUCAGGGAAUUCGCCAGGACAAGGACUUUGACAUAUCAGAGGAAGUAGGUGGAGUUGAGAGAGCUAUUACAAAGCAUUUUAUUGCUAAUGUUUCUGGGAACCAUCUUGAAAUUCACUUGUUUUGGGCGGGUAAGGGGACCUGCUGCACACCCGUACAAGGCUAUUAUGGAC